UAGGGUGCUUAUGCUGAGAUUGAUGAGUAUCAAAACCCUAGACCUGAACCGGAUAAUGCUGGCGUAGGAAAGUGGAU
rnacentral:ncRNA from 1 species